rnacentral:rRNA from 1 species
AUUGAACGCUGGCGGCAGGCCUAACACAUGCAAGUCGAGCGGAUGAAGGGAGCUUGCUCCUGGAUUCAGCGGCGGACGGGUGAGUAAUGCCUAGGAAUCUGCCUGGUAGUGGGGGAUAACGUCCGGAAACGGGCGCUAAUACCGCAUACGUCCUAAGGGAGAAAGUGGGGGAUCUUCGGACCUCACGCUAUCAGAUGAGCCUAGGUCGGAUUAGCUAGUUGGUGGGGUAAAGGCCUACCAAGGCGACGAUCCGUAACUGGUCUGAGAGGAUGAUCAGUCACACUGGAUCUGAGACACGGUCCAGACUCCUACGGGAGGCAGCAGUGGGGAAUAUUGGACAAUGGGCGAAAGCCUGAUCCAGCCAUGCCGCGUGUGUGAAGAAGGUCUUCGGAUUGUAAAGCACUUUAAGUUGGGAGGAAGGGCAGUAAGUUAAUACCUUGCUGUUUUGACGUUACCAACAGAAUAAGCACCGGCUAACUUCGUG